CACAAGCAAAGGGCCAGGACUAAUUGCAAUCCCCAUCUCACGAAGCUCCUUCAGAGUACGACGAGGUCUGUCUUAGGGGCUGGAUGUGUUCACUUGGCUGAGCCUCUUAAUUCUGGGCCUUUGCAGCAGCAUUACCUGCAGAGACACUUUUCCUCUUUGCCAGUUUCUCCUGCCAACGUGGAGAUGACUCAGAGGCAAGUUCUGAGGACUUCUCUCAGAAAUUACUUGUUUCUGCUGGGCUGCUUCUACCUAUUACUUUGCUUGCACCUAAAAGAAAGAGAUGUAUCUGAAGCAGUUACUGAUUCUGGGGAUGCACUGAGUUACAGCUGGUACCAGAAGGUAACUGGAGUUUCUGAGGAGGACAAUCCCAGUCCUGCUCACCUCCCCAGAUCCCCACAUACCUUGUGAUGCCAGCGCAGCUCGCUCUCACUACGAUCAGCUUCUACCAACUACCCCAAAGCUGAAGGGAUGGGGAUGGCCUCAGACUUCCCCAUGGCAAAUCACCAACGCAUGUGACAGCCUCUCUCUCUCUGCAUACGUGGAGAGGCUUCCAGCCAGCGCUGUCGUGGAGUAAAGCUGAAAAUAUGCCUCUCUAAGGCUCAAAAGCCUGAAGGCAACAACGAACAAAUAAACCAAACCUGUUGUUUUGAACCCUAACUGAAAAGAAAGGUGGAGGAAGGUAAACAUGCUGUCAAGAUAUAUUGAAGACUUGUGAAAAUAAAGCAAUUUAAAACUGACAUCUAAGAGAAGAGUUCUUUCAUGGGUUUCCCUUUUUAAUCAUAUUCCCUCAGCAAUUACAAUUCAAAUGCUACAGCAGCGUGCAAACUUGUGCAUGAAAUGCAAUAGCAGAAUGAAGCGGCCAACAGUCAAUUAGAGUGAUACUCUGCAGUUCAUUCCCAUUGCAGGGAGAGAAUAAAACCUAAAAUUCGACCCAAAUGGGGAUUUGUGACAACGCUGCAUGCCAUGCCCCACCCCUGUGCACUCUUCUUCACACUCACCACUUUUUCCAGCCGCAGCUGAGGUUGUGCACGUGCAACAAAGUGAGCAGAGAGUUCUCGUGCAUGUCUCUGGAUCAGCACACUGCAUGUGGCUCUCUGGAGGGAGGAGGCAGGUAACGGGCUGGGAUGUAAGCUCUUCUUUCCCAUCCUCCAGUCCUCAUGAAGAAGUAGCAGCUCUUGUUCAUGCGAUCCCAAGGGAGGGAGGGGCUUGAAUUUUGGGUGGUCCUGUGUGGGGCCAGACAUGGGGCUAGAUAAUCCUUG
ensembl:lncRNA